GUAAAUGAUGAACAUGCACUGGGCUCUGAGCAGUUAAAAACUGCUUAAUUUGAUGCACAUUUGCAGCCUAGAAAGCUAUGUCUGAUGC